rnacentral:lncRNA from 1 species
GUUUUUGGUUUUUUCUUUUUACUUCCGUCUCGUUGUUUGGGUUCUUUGAGAGCUUGGUUGUAUUCUUUGGGCUCGGGAGUGGUGUUUUCGUGCCCUUGGCUGCUUCUGGUAGUGAUUUCUUGAAAGAAGUUAGGGUUCUGUGCCGUGGGAUUUGCGGCAUUGCCGUUUGUCGGUGCUUUGGGUCUAGAUCUUGGAGCUUUUUGUUUUCUUUCUCCAGAAAGAAGAUUUUGGUGCUUGUUAGAAUUUGCGAGCGAUUCGGAAAAGAAUUCGAUGGGUUGGGUUAUUUGGGAUUUUGCUUCGAUUUCUUAUCUAUCGUUUCUCCUCCUUGCAAGUUGCAAGCCAAGAACGGGGCUUUGAUGAGCGAAGUCUUCGUACGUCUCAAGAUUCUAUUUUUCGUUUUUAAUUUCCCUUAUCUUUCUACUUUCCUUCUAUUUUGUGGUGUAACAUGCUUGCUACUUAAUUUCUUCUGAGAUUAGAAAGAAAAUAGCCUCACAUCUGAAAAGAUAGGGAACCUGUUUGAAUUUCUAGUGGAGCGGCGAAGGAUUUGGCAAUGAGUAGGAUAAACUUGUUUGAAGUCAUAUAAUUGAACGAUGUUUGCUUGGUUCAGAAACCUUCUUUUUCCCCAGUAAAACUGUUUUUAUAUGCUGAUCUUCCUCUCUCGUUCUUCUGUUUCUGAGCAGGUUUCUUAAGUUUGGUGUUUUAGAACUGCAAGUGUAAUCAGCGCAUCAUGUUGUUCGCUUGGAUAGCUAACAUUGGCUUGAGAAUCUCGGCAUGUCUUGGUGCCGGGUUGAUGGUAAUUGUUAUCAUGCCAUUUUCCCAGGCAUACACUAAUGAACGAGAUGGUAUGCUAUACACUUGGCUGUCUUCGCUCUGUACAUUUUUUUCUUAACAUUGGAAACUAUGUUGUUUUAUUUGCCCUUUACUCUGAAGCUUUAAUUCUGGUACGGGUUAUCUAAUGGUAUUACUUCUUCAAAUAAGAUUCUAAUGAUGUCAUUUCUUUUCAUCUACUUUCAGUGAGCAUUCUUGUUCAAGCAUCAGUUGCCUUUAUAACGGUUGCUGUGCAUCCUAAGAUGCCGGGUGCACGCCUUUAAUUGUCUAAGCUCUGUGUGUGUGUGUGUGUGUGAAUUUAGAUGCUGGACAAGUGUCAACCUGUCAGGUAGGAUACAUACAUCUCAGCCUUCAUUGUUGGACCCUUUGGUCCAUGUGUCGGCUACAAUUGAUGGUCCAAUUUUAUUUAUUCUCUAGGGGAAGCUAGAAAAUGAAAAAGAAAUUGUACGAUGGAGAGAUGAUGGAAGUAGGUCUGUCUGGUUGUGACAGCACAUGUAGAUGAGAACUCCGGGGAAGAAUUUGUUUCUCAUUCUGGUUCAUGGUUUUGGCUGUAACAUUUUUAAGUUAUAAUGUGUUUCACAAGCUUUACUUGUAAAGAUGAACUUUUUUUCCUUAGAAUUGUAGCAAAUGUGUACGAGAGAACUCAGAGGAGUGUAAAGAUCAUUAAUGCAGAGGAAGUUACCACACAAGCAAUAGGAUAAAGGUAGAUAACCCUUGAGAUACUUCAGAUACCAGAUGCAGGCGACAUUUUGACGUAGGUAAAAGGUCAGUUUAGAUGAAACGCCUUGGCAGGUGAAGACCUGCUAUCAAUAGAUGUGGAAUUAUGUAGAAAAUUUGAACCC